GACGAACCGUGCGAACGUUAUUCGGAAUCACUGGGCUUAAAGCGCGUGUAGGCGGUUGGGAACGUCGGUAGUUGAAAGCCCCCGGCUCAACCGGGGAAGUGGUGCCGAAACGACCCGUCUGGAGGGACGUAGGGGGACCUGGAACUUCCGGUGGAGCGGUGAAAUGCGUUGAGAUCGGAAGGAACGCCCGUGGCGAAAGCGAGGUCCUGGAAGUCUACUGACGCUGAGACGCGAAAGCAUGGGGAGCGAACAGG
rnacentral:rRNA from 1 species